UUGUCUCUGGGGUCAGACGUGUUCUGGAAUACAGAUAGAGACCCAUGGCCAUAUUUUUUUUAAAAUUUUUUUUAAUUUUAUUUAUUUAUGAUAGGCACACAGUGAGGGAGAGAGAAGCAGAGACAUAGGCAGAGGGAGAAGCAGGCUCCAUGCACCGGGAGCCCGAUGUGGGAUUCGAUCCCGGGUCUCCAGGAUCGCGCCCCGGGCCAAAGGCAGACACCAAACCGCUGCGCCACUCAGGGAUCCCGAGACCCAUGGCCAUAUUAACAGAGCUUGUGGAAAGUGGUACUCUGAUAUCAGAUGGAGGAGGGCCAAGGUGUUCAGCCCAGCUUCGUACAGACUCUUUCACUUCAGAAAAAAGAUUCUAUGAUGACAGGAGAAGGCAGAGAAGAUGGUUGUAA
rnacentral:lncRNA from 1 species